CAAGGUUGUCCAAGGGUGGUCCAAGGGUCAUCCAAGGUGGUCCAAGGGUCAUCCAAGGUGGUCCAAGGGUCAUCCAAGGUUGUCCAAGGUGGCCUGAGGGUCAUUCCAGGUGGUCCAAGGUGGUUGAAGGUCCAGCCAAGGUGGCCCAAGCUCCAUCCAGGGUUGCCCAGGGUCCAUCCAAGGUGGCCCCAGGUCCAUCUGAGGUGGCCCCGGGUCCAUCCAAGGUGGCCCAAGGUCCAUCCAAGGUGGUCCAAGAUGGUCCCAGGUCCAUCCGAGGUGGUCCAAGGUCACCCCAGCUCCAUCCCAGGAGAUCCAGAAGCCACCUGAGGCCACCAGAAGCUCCUCAGAUCCCCCAAGACCCCAAAAUCCCCCAAAAAAUCCCAAAAAAUCUCAAAAAAUCCCCCAAAAUCCCCAAAAAAUCCCAAAAAUCCCCCAAAAACCCAAAAAAAAAUCCCCAAAAUGCCCCAAAAAUAAAAAAAAAUUCCCAAAAAAUCCCCAAAAAAUCCCAAAAUCCCCAAAAAAUCCCAAAAUCCCCAAAAAUCCCAAAAUCCCCAAAAAUCCCCGAGGCACUUCCGGGGUGGGGGAGGGGCCUUGGACCUCCCCUCCCCCCCCCAAAUUUGGGCUUUUCCCGCCAAAAAAAAUCGGAAAUUUUGGGGAAGAAUUUUGGGAAUUUUGGGAAAAAAAAAUUAAGAAUUUUGGGGAAAAAUUUGGGAAUUUUGGAAAAAAUUUUAGGAAAAAAAUUGAGAAAAAAUGUGGGAAUUUUGGGAAAAAAUUUGGGAAAAAUUUGGGAAUUUUGAGAAAAAUUUGGGGAAAAAAAUUUGGGAAUUUUGGCAAAAAACUGGGAAAAAAAUUUCGGAAUUUUAGGAAAAAAAUUGGAAAUUUUGGGAAGAAUUUUGGGGAAAAAUUUGGGAAUUUUGGAAAAAAAUUUGUGAAAAAAAUGGGAAUUUUGAGAAAAAAUUUUGGAAAAAAAAUGAAAAUUUUGGGAAAAAAUUGGGAAUUUUAG
rnacentral:lncRNA from 1 species